AGAGUAUGACAAUUUUUUAUCUAUAAGUCUUGACCAAAUUACGUGCCAGCAGUCGCGGUAAUACGUAGAAGACUAGUGUUAUUCAUCUUUAAUCGGUAUAAAGGGUACCUAGACAGAAUACCAAGCCAUAAUAGGAACUAGUAUUCUAGAGUUUUAUGUGGGAAUAUGCGAAUUACCAGAGGAGAGUCAAAAUUCUGUGAUACUGGUAGGACGGGUAACGGCAAAGGCAAUAUUCUAAGUAAAAACUGACGUUGAGGGACGAAGCCUUGGGCAGCGAUAAGGAUUAGAUACCCUAGUAGUCCUUGGAGACAAUUAUGAGUGCCAUAGGCUAGAUUAAUUUAGUCUAUAAAUGAAAGUGUAAGCACUCCACCUCAUGACUAAGGCGGAAAUGCACAAAUUGAAAUCAUUAGACCGUUUCUGAAACCAGUAGUGAAGUAUGUUAUUUAAUUCGAUGAUCCGCGAAAAACCUUACCACGUUUUGAAUAUUAUUAAGAAUAUUACAAGUGCUGCACGGCUGUCUUCAGUUAAUGUCGUGAGAUUUUGGUUAAUUCCUUUAAUUAACGAAAGCCCUUACUUUAUUUGUUUUUAAAGUAUUUUUCUACAAAGGGAAAUAAUAAAAGGGACCAAGACAAGUCAUCAUGGCCAAAAUAGCG
rnacentral:rRNA from 1 species